rnacentral:rRNA from 1 species
CUAUGCGCCUUGCCAGCCCGCUCAGGUGUGCCAGCCGCCGCGGUAAUACGUAGGGUGCAAGCGUUAUCCGGAUUUAUUGGGCGUAAAGGGCUCGUAGGCGGUUCGUCGCGUCCGGUGUGAAAGUCCAUCGCUUAACGGUGGAUCCGCGCCGGGUACGGGCGGGCUUGAGUGCGGUAGGGGAGACUGGAAUUCCCGGUGUAACGGUGGAAUGUGUAGAUAUCGGGAAGAACACCAAUGGCGAAGGCAGGUCUCUGGGCCGUUACUGACGCUGAGGAGCGAAAGCGUGGGGAGCGAACAGG